rnacentral:tRNA from 2 species
GCCCCCGUGGCGGAAUCGGUAGACGCAACCGACUUAAAAUCGGUCGCCAUUGGCUUGUGGGUUCGAGUCCCACCGGGGGUACGA